GUUCGAGCGUCAUUAAUAACCACCAAGCCUCGGCUUGGUAUUUGGGGUUCGCGGUUUCGCGGCCCUUAAAAUCAGUGGCGGUGCGUCUGGCUCUAAGCGUAGUAAUUUAUCUCGCUACAGAGUCCGGGUGGGUUACUUGCUAGAAUCCCCCAAUUUUUAAGGUUGACCUCGGAUCAGGUAGGGAUACCCGCUGAACUUAA
rnacentral:misc_RNA from 1 species